rnacentral:lncRNA from 1 species
GAAGGAGCAGGAAUAACCCUGAUUUUCCUGCUCGUCCAUCAGCGCCCGCCUCGCUCUGCGCGCGUCUCCCGGGAUUGAGCAGCCCAGGACAGGGAGGUGACCACCACGCUCCAGCUGCUGCCACCUCACACUGAAACUCCCACCAGCACCACCAACACCGACCACAGGGCUGAGCUGGAGCUGCCGGGCUCUCCCUGCCAGCCUGGGCCCCGGGAAUGCGCUGAGCUGAGCUGAGCCGAGCUGAGCUGAGCAGCCGCCGCUCCACGGCUCCGAUUCCUGCCUGGGAAAGGUACGGCACCUGCAGGGGAUUGUUACUGGGGCAGGGCAGCAC